rnacentral:rRNA from 1 species
GAUGAACGCUGGCGGCGUGCCUAAUACAUGCAAGUCGAGCGAAGGGAUUAAGAGCUUGCUCUUAUGAAGUUAGCGGCGGACGGGUGAGUAACACGUGGGUAACCUGCCCAUAAGACUGGGAUAACUCCGGGAAACCGGGGCUAAUACCGGAUAAUAUUUUGAACUGCAUGGUUCAAAAUUGAAAGGCGGCUACGGCUGUCACUUAUGGAUGGACCCGCGUCGCAUUAGCUAGUUGGUGAGGUAACGGCUCACCAAGGCAACGAUGCGUAGCCGACCUGAGAGGGUGAUCGGCCACACUGGGACUGAGACACGGCCCAGACUCCUACGGGAGGCAGCAGUAGGGAAUCUUCCGCAAUGGACGAAAGUCUGACGGAGCAACGCCGCGUGAGUGAUGAAGGCUUUCGGGUCGUAAAACUCUGUUGUUAGGGAAGAACAAGUGCUAGUUGAAUAAGCUGGCACCUUGACGGUACCUAACCAGAAAGCCACGGCUAACUACGUGCCAGCCGCCGCCGUAA